CCAAUAGCGUAUAUUAAAGUUGCUGCAGUUAAAAAGCUCGUAGUUGAAUUUUGGGACUAAUAUGUCGGUCGUGCCUCGGUACGUACUGGUAUUUUUGGUUUCUCCCUUCUGACGAACCUUGAUGUCAUUAAUUUGGUGUCUUGGGAAAUCAGGACUGUUACUUUGAAAAAAUUAGAGUGUUUAAAGCAGGCUCACGCUUGAAUACAUUAGCAUGGAAUAAUGAAAUAGGACGUUUGAUUCUAUUUUGUUGGUUUCUAGGAUCGACGUAAUGAUUAAUAGGGAUAGUUGGGGGCAUUAGUAUUCAAUUGUCAGAGGUGAAAUUCUUGGAUUUAUUGAAGACUAACUACUGCGAAAGCAUUUGCCAAGGAUGUUUUCAUUAAUCAAGAACGAAAGUUAGGGGAUCGAAGACGAUCAGAUACCGUCGUAGUCUUAACCAUAAACUAUGCCGACUAGGGAUCGGAUGAUGUUAAUUUUUUAAUGACUCAUUCGGCGCCUUACG
rnacentral:misc_RNA from 1 species